rnacentral:rRNA from 1 species
GAAUUCAACUCCUACGGGAGGCAGCAGUGGGGAAUCUUCGGCAAUGGACGAAAGUCUGACCGAGCAACGCCGCGUGAGUGAAGAAGGUUUUCGGAUCGUAAAACUCUGUUGUUAGAGAAGAACAAGGACGUUAGUAACUGAACGUCCCCUGACGGUAUCUAACCAGAAAGCCACGGCUAACUACGUGCCAGCAGCCGCGGUAAUACGUAGGUGGCAAGCGUUGUCCGGAUUUAUUGGGCGUAAAGCGAGCGCAGGCGGUUUCUUAAGUCUGAUGUGAAAGCCCCCGGCUCAACCGGGGAGGGUCAUUGGAAACUGGGAGACUUGAGUGCAGGAGAGGAGAGUGGAAUUCCAUGUGUAGCGGUGAAAUGCGUAGAUAUAUGGAGGAACACCAGUGGCGAAGGCGGCUCUCUGGUCCGUAACUGACGCUGAGGCUCGAAAGCGUGGGGAGCGAACAGGAUUAGAAACCCCAGUAGUCCAGGCGUU